rnacentral:ncRNA from 1 species
UGAAAAGGGCAAACCUGCCGCAAGGCAGGGGCGCAAAGCCACGGGCCCUAGCUAGAAAGGGUAGCCGGGUUGCCA